rnacentral:lncRNA from 1 species
UAUAUCGUAUCAAACCACCCCUCUUGAAAUGAACCUUGUCCUCAAGGUUCGAGUCAAUUUGGUCCCUCUCCUUUGCGUUUCCACCUAUGUUUGACUUCAUCGAUUUGUUCAUCGACUUGCUUCUGAAUCAACUCCAAAAAACACGAUGAAAAAUCGAGCUCUUUUCCAAAGAUGAACCUAUCUGCCCGACUUAAAUUUCUCAAUCUCUUUCCCGACAAAUCGACCUUCUCAGUUGCCUUUUCAAAUUUCAUCUCCUUCACAAUCAAUAUCAUUCUUUUAUUUUUCUCAGUCGUCUUUACAGAUCCGGUCUCAUUCAAAGUCACCAAAUCUUGUUCGUCUCCUUUCUUUUGCACACCAUGGAAAUCUCCCAAAAUCCACUGUAGUUCUUCGUUCUCUUCCUUAGUUAAUUCCUCGUCCUCAUCCCAAAUUACCUCAAGUGAAUCCGAUAAUUCAUAUUUCGGCAAACUCACAAAAAAUUGGGGUUCUUCGAAAAAAUCAUCGUCGUCCUCUUCCUCUUCCUUACGCGGUAGGCUUGGCGUUGGCGGCGGCGGUGGAUCUUCGAAAAAGUCAUCGUCGUCCUCGUCCUCUUCCUCCGGCGAUAGGCUCGGCAGCGGCGGUAGUGGUGUUGUUGGUCGCCGGUGGUAGUCUCUUCGGCUCUUAUGUUGGCCCCGUCCUUGACUUUGUUCGAGCAGUUUUUGGAGACCAAUCCGUAUCUCCUCCACAGAUUUUUCCAAUCGCUCUAAACGUUUUCUCUCGGACGACAUAAUUUCGCAAAGUGUUGAUGUAAUCUCAACUUUGCUCCAGCGUAGCUUUGAUAUAAUCUCUGCCUUGCUAACGAAGCGUUGGUGUUAAUCGCAACUUCGCUCUGAUACCAAUUGAUGCGAUCUCUUUAGUAUCAUAAGAUUUCUUUACUAAACGUAAGAAAACUCUUCUUUAAUAUUUCUCUUCAUUAUAAAACCCUAGCACAAUACGACUAUUUAAAGAGAAUAAAACCCUAGAAUCCUAAUCUAACUAGGAAAGAUAAUUACCUAAACUAAUAAAAUACUUAAUAUAUAUCCUAUAAUCAUUAAACCUACGGCUCCUAACUAAUUUAAUACUUAAAUAAUAUAUAUUAAAUAAUUAAAUAAUAACUAAUGAAUAAAUAUACGAUAUAUUAAAUAUAUAUCGUAUCAAACCACCCCUCUUGAAAUGAACCUUGUCCUCAAGGUUCGAGUCAAUUUGAUCCCUCUCCUUUGCGUUUCCACCUAUGUUUGACUUCAUUGACUUGCUUCCCGAUUGACUCCGAAAAACACGAUGAACGACCGAGCUUUUUAAUACAUUGUUUAUGCUGAUCCAACGAAAUUCCAAAGGCUACUUUAGCGAAAAUAUUCAAUCUUUUUCCCGAUAAAUAAACUUUUUCAAUC